GCCACGGUGGUCUAGCGGUUAGAACGCUGGCCUUGUAACCCUGGGGUCUCGGGUUCGAUUCCCGGCGGUGCCC
rfam:Zootermopsis nevadensis contig20930, whole genome shotgun sequence.